UGAUAAUUUACAUAAAAAUAUUUCCUACGGAAAUAUGGUUUUUUAUGUCAAGCCUGAAUUAUAGUGAUAAGAUAAAAGUAGGAAAUAGUUAGAUUGGAUUGUGGCAGAUNNNNNNNNNNNNNNNNNNNNUUACAACAUUCUGCUAUUACUCAUAAUGGUUUCGCAGAGGCGACUGCUUUCGAUCGGCCUACACUACAGUUAACAGGGGUUACUGCGGUGUAUUUUGGCUCGCUAUAAAACAUUAUAAUAAUUAAAUGCUCUUUGCUAGUGGUGUUGCGUUUUCCUCGGGUGGGGAGACUCCGCGAUUUACGUUCGACUGACUUCAAUGGCGUAGUCUUUGGCGUGUAGUCCUGCCACCUUUACUGGCAAUGAACAUUAACAGACUCAAGUUAUUAACUGAAAUUAUCAAUUUUAAUGAUUUUAUGAUAUUUCUAAUUAAAUGACGAGAUUUUAAAUAAAGCGGCUGUGAAUCAAUUUCACAGCCAAAUUAUCCCAAAUCGGGUGUUUUGUUUUGCCAGUAAACUGAGCUCGUUAAACGCAACACCUCGUGAAAAGCAGGAAGGCAAAGACAUAAAUAAAAAUAUUUCCUACGGAAAUAUAGGUUUUUAUGUCAAGCCUGAAUUAUAGUGAUAAGAUAAAAGUAGGAAAUAGUUAGAUUGGAUUGUGGCAGAUUAAGGUGGGACUUGGCGGAGAAGGAAAUUCCGGUGCUUUUACCUACGUAAGAAACAUUAAGUCAAGGCCAAAUUUUAGCUACUAAAAGCAAAGCAAAGUUAUUCACUUCUCAAUUCAACCUUUCUCGUGAUCGAGUGCAGACAUACGAAUUUUCUUCCCACCUCCUCCCGCUGGCCUGCCGCUUUGUAUUUUAGUUUGUUGUCUUUUCUUGUACAUAUCAUUAUUAUACCUUUUUUGCCUAAUUGGCGUGUAGUCCUGCCACCUUUACUGGCAAUGAACAUUAACAGACUCAAGUUAUUAACUGAAAUUAUCAAUUUUAAUGAUUUUAUGAUAUUUCUAAUUAAAUGACGAGAUUUUAAAUAAAGCGGCUGUGAAUCAAUUUCACAGCCAAAUUAUCCCAAGUCGGGUGUUUUGUUUUGCCAGUAAACUGAGCUCGUUAAACGCAACACCUAGUGAAAAGCAGGAA
rnacentral:lncRNA from 1 species